CCACUACUUAGUAAGAGCUCCUUAACAACUUAAAGCUUUAUCCCUCUGAGUACCAGAAAAGUGAUUUGAGUAGUUAUUGAGCAGGGAGAAUAAACUGCUUGCUACGGGCAGGGAGAAAGCUUAUGGAAAUGAUAUUAGACCUUCAGCAAAGUGCACAGCUGCAUCAUACAGAAGCCGAGACUCAAAUUGACAGGCAAAUAAGCCAGAUCACGGAAGGGGCCUCUGUGUGGCAGCUCUGAGCUCCCAAGUGUUGGACAACUAGGCAAAAAGUGCACUGGAACAGGGCAGAAAAUAGCACACUAACUUCAGGCAACUGUUGCAUUUUCAUGGACAAAAUGGAGGGACAAGUCUUUGUAAAGUGAAUACUUAAGAAAAAUGUGGAGGAGAAAUACCAUUUCAUUCAAUUGAAGAAAUACACCAAGAAGCUCCAAGUACAUUUUGAACUCUCAAAAGGAAUAACACAAAGGUGAGAAAUGAUUGGCUUACUUAGGAGCUCUGUUGUGUGUUUCUAGCAGUGGAUCUCGAUUUCUUUCUGGUAUGUUCAAGAGUGGUAGGAAGGAGGACUUGGUGAAGAAAGAGUGAAGCAAAGACAAGAGGAUAUCAUACGUCCUUUCCGUAAGAUUUUAGCCUCCUCGAUAGCAGACUGUUGAUUUGUACCAAUGCCAUGUCCAGUCUAACGCUGAGCUGAUGACCCUUACCACCUCUUCAUGCUCCUCUUUGAGGAGACAGCAUUUCUUAAGGGCGUUGAAUUGAAACGACUUUAUAGACUUGCUUUUUGUUAUGCAAAUUAACUGCUUGGAUUACUUGACUUUCUGCUGUGUUUAUGGACUCGCCUGUACUUAUAUGAACCGGUUUAAAUAGCUUUGUUAGUUCCUGUGCUUGCAGAAAGAUUUACAAUGGUUGAUCUUUGCUUAUAUUUCCCCUCCACAAUCUCCCAUUUUACGUAGUAUUAGCACUCUGCAAGGAAACAUGAUGUAAGUGGAGAUCAUGCUGUGAAAUUCCUAAGGACUGUGGCAUGGGUAUGCAUGAGUGUGUCGUCUUCUUGCUUAAAGCUAAACGGUACCAUAGCUAUAUUGGAAGUGAUGAUAUUUCUGGUUAAUUCUCUCUCAACUUAUCUGUCUUUGGUUCUUAUUAUGCUUAGCUUCUUCUUUAGCAGGAGAAACAUCUGGUGAAUACCAUAUAAGGAAAAUGCCAAUUUAAGAAAUACUACAAUUAUUGCCUUAAUAAUCUUUUAUGCUUCUAGCAAUAUUAAAACAGUCCAGACUGAUAUUUAAAAUGUCUUAUAUAUAACUUUAAAUAUGCUCCAAGCUUAUAAAUUGAACAGAAACACUUGGUUAACAGAAUGUUUUCCAUCAGAAUUAUAAGUAUUUUUCUCACUUUUGUUUUUUCUUCCUCUGACAUUUUGUGUGCCUCUAGUGCAAGCUUUCCUGCUAAGUGUGUCCCAAAACUAAGUUUUUUUUUGGUUUUGAAGAUACUGGAGCAAAAAUAGUUAUGCUAUAGCUUCUUAUGUUGGAGUCUGAUUUCUCUUCAUCCUUCCAGAUUCAACUUAGAAUACAAUAUGUUUCAAGGAGAUGUUCUGAUAUGUCAUAGAAAGACUGUAGGCCAAUUUAUUUAUCAUGUAGCUAAAGAGGUUUCAUAUUCAGAAUCUGAAAUGGAGACAACCUUAAUUACUAUUUCAAGUGAGAAUGUAAAUACUGUUCUCCUUUGUGCAACAUAAGAACUUAAGGAAAUUUUCAAAAUUAAAUUAGGCAAGGUCUUAAGCAGCACGAACCUUUUAACAAUUUUUUUUCACUAAGGAGACCAUUGCUUUUUUUUCUGUCUUAGAGUAACUUCUAUUAAUUUUAUUUUAGUAUGUCUCACUGACUUUGACAUGCAAUUCUACAAAAAGAAAUACGAGGAGUUUUUUGUGUUCAUUGUCAGAGUAGAUAUGGGGUAUUUUAAUAUUCAAAUUAAUUUUGCCCUAAUAACCUCAUAACUAUACUCUAAGAAGAAAAUGAAACAAAUGCAAAGUAUUAUCAUUGUCUUCUCAAAAACAGAGAUAUUGAAGAAAUGUAGAAAUGUUUCAUUCCUAAACAACAUGGUUAGGUGAUUUAAAUCCAAGGACUUGAAGGUAAAUGUGAGUGCCAUAUUUGGCCUGUGAAUUAAUGAUUUAAUGUCACUCUGUUAGCCCUUGUGGGCACAAUUGUAUUGAAAAUUCAGGUGAUCUCAGUCCCACUAUCGUUUAAAUGAGCCUCAAACUGACAUGUUCUACUAGAUCGCAAAAUAGAAACCAUACGAAAUUAACAGACCUUCAGUCUAACUUAAUAAAACACAUACUUUUCUAACUUGCUCUUAUUGCCUUCCUUUUCUAGACCUUUAGGGAUUUUCCACUGCAUAUCUGGAAAAAAAGUUACAGUUUAAACACUGAGUCUACAGGAUGAAUGGUAAGAGGUAGCUAUACUAGCAGGCCAUUAUUACUCAAUUAGUACCAAGACAAUGACUUGCAUGAAGCAAGUGGAAUUCUAGUUUCUCUGCUUGGAAAUUUCAGGCUUUAGGUCAGUAUGCAUAAGAAACAACAAUUUUUUUGAAGAGUCAUAUGAAAUUGUGCGUACGGUCUUUAAACACUUCUACCACUUAGGGCUUUGUGCUC
rnacentral:lncRNA from 1 species